UUACACAUGCAAGUCGAACGGAAUUUAGAAGCUUGCUUUUAAAUUUAGUGGCGAACGGGUGAGUAAUAUAUCGGAACGUAUCCAAUAAUGGGGGAUAACUAAUCGAAAGGUUGGCUAAUACCGCAUACGCCCUACGGGGGAAAGCUAGGGACCUUCGGGCCUGGCGUUAAUGGAGCGGCCGAUAUCAGAUUAGCUAGUUGGUGAGGUAAAGGCUCACCAAGGCGACGAUCUGUAGCUGGUCUGAGAGGACGACCAGCCACACUGGAACUGAGACACGGUCCAGACUCCUACGGGAGGCAGCAGUGGGGAAUUUUGGACAAUGGGCGAAAGCCUGAUCCAGCCAUUCCGCGUGAGUGAAGAAGGCCUUCGGGUUGUAAAGCUCUUUCGCAAGGGAAGAACACUUAGUUACUAAUAUUAACUGAGGUUGACGGUACCUUGAUAAGAAGCACCGGCUAACUACGUGCCAGCAGCCGCGGUAAUACGUAGGGUGCGAGCGUUAAUCGGAAUUACUGGGCGUAAAGCGUGCGCAGGCUGUUUUGUAAGUCAGAUGUGAAAUCCCUGAGCUCAACUUAGGAACUGCGUUUGAAACUACAAGACUAGAAUAUGUCAGAGGGGGGUAGAAUUCCACGUGUAGCAGUGAAAUGCGUAGAGAUGUGGAGGAAUACCAAUGGCGAAGGCAGCCCCCUGGGAUAAUAUUGACGCUCAUGCACGAAAGCGUGGGGAGCAAACAGGAUUAG
rnacentral:rRNA from 1 species